rnacentral:rRNA from 1 species
AGUGAACGCUGGCGGUAGGCCUAACACAUGCCAGUCGAACGGCAGCACAGUAAGAGCUUGCUCUUACGGGUGGCGAGUGGCGGACGGGUGAGGAAUACAUCGGAAUCUACUUUUUCGUGGGGGAUAACGUAGGGAAACUUACGCUAAUACCGCAUACGACCUACGGGUGAAAGCAGGGGAUCUUCGGACCUUGCGCGAUUGAAUGAGCCGAUGUCGGAUUAGCUAGUUGGCGGCGUAAAGGCCCACCAAGGCGACGAUCCGUAGCUGGUCUGAGAGGAUGAUCAGCCACACUGGAACUGAGACACGGUCCAGACUCCUACGGGAGGCAGCAGUGGGGAAUAUUGGACAAUGGGCGCAAGCCUGAUCCAGCCAUACCGCGUGGGUGAAGAAGGCCUUCGGGUUGUAAAGCCCUUUUGUUGGGAAAGAAAAGCAGCAGGUUAAUACCCCGCUGUUCUGACGGUACCCAAAGAAUAAGCACCGGCUAACUUCGUG